CUCUGUAGAGACGAAGGUCAGUGGAGAGGGAGUAGUUCAUGAAAAUCUGCCCAUGGGAAAAACUUAGGUUGGAGAAGUUCAUGGAGAGCUGUCUCCUGUGAGAGGGAUCCCAUACUGGAGCAGGGGAAGGGUUUGAGGAGUUCUUCCCCUGAGGAGGAAGGAGCAGCAGAGACAAAAUGCCUUGAGGUAACUGCGUGCCCCGUUUCCUGUCCCCUCAUACUGUUGGGGAUGGAGGUAGAGAAAUCUGGAGUCAAGCUGCGCCUGGGAAGAAGGAAGGGGCACUCAUAUGGUAUCAGUCUAAUGAUCAGAAGAUUUUACUUGGUGUUACACUAUUUUCAGGUGAAAAGUUGCAUGGUUGCUGCUCUCUCUCCAUGACUUCUGGAGAAUUUUAUCAACUACCAGUUUUGAAUUCCAGAAAGGAAGGCUCCUUUCACCUCUGACUAAGAAGAAGUGUACGUUAAUAACUACAGCAAUUUGCUGCAAAUAAACAAGGAGACCAUCCUCUGAUUUCCUCUGUAAGGCCUGGUCAUAAUGAGUGUACAAUGCAUGGAAGGAGACAGCUGAAUGGCAGGAACAACUCCCUCUGCAUCUCAGGAAACAGGAGCAUGCAUGUUCAGUCUGUUUGGAAUCUGAGUGGAUUUUGCCUGCUAACACCUGCUGAAAGUGUUAGCUCACACUCUGAGCUAAGAUGCAUCUGUAGUCUACUGCAGCCAUGCUAAAAGGUUUCCAAACAUAUAAGCUAAGAGCCAUGUCUAGUCUUUCUGGUGCAGAUGACUUUUCUACGCAAACAUGACAUAUCUAAAUUGAAAACUCAAGUAUAUGUUGUAAUAAGUCUGUUACAUCAGAAUAGAUGACUUUCAAUUGCAAAUCAUGUGAAAACCAGUCACAAAUAGUGAUCCAUAUCCCAUUCAAAGUCUUCUGCUUCAAUUUUCAGCUAAUAACAACUGACUGACAUCCUCUACUCAGAAGUACCAAUGCAACAACUCUAUAUGUUUUUUGGACAUAACUUACUGUACUUAAAAUAGAAUUUAUCUUAUUCUAAUAGUAAUUAUGCAGUCAGUAAAUAGCUAGACAGCUAAUAAGGCUGAGUAAUGCAAUGACCUGUGGUUUAAGAUUAACAUCAGGAAUAACGACCAACCUUUUUUCAGGAUAUAUAUGCCUAAUCUCCAUUUUCUCCACCUAGGAGAAUAGUGAUUAGAGUCAAGUUCCUGUCACACUCCAUGCUCUGCACUGAAUAGCAGAAAACAACCUACCAAAACAUAGCUGGCAUUGCACUGCCUCUGUAAAGCAAGGUGAGCAAUUUUACAUACAUAUAAAAGACAGAAUCUAGAUACUACAGUUCUUUUAUGUUAGGUACACUGAGAGGCAGGAUUUAAUCCUAUCCUUCAUAGAAUCAUGCUUUGACUGAAUACCACUAUGUCAAAUAAACCAAGCACUACGUGCCAUGUCUGGUUGCUUAUCGAAUACUGACAGUCCUGAUGACCACCUCCCUAGGUAGUCCAUACCAAUGCUUGACAAUUCUUCCAGUGAAUAAAUUCUUCCUGAUGUCUAACCUGAACCUCCCCUGGCAUGCUGGAGGCCAUUUCCUCUUUUCCUGUCACUGGUUGCCUGAGAGAAGAAGCCAACCCCAGCUGGCUACAGCCUCUUUUCAGGGAAUUGUACAGAGCAAUAAGGUCUCCCCUGAGCCUCCUUUUCUCCAGUCUAAACACCCUCAGCUCCCUCAGCUGCCCCUCACAGGACUUGCUCUUUCAACAAUUCACCAACCUCAUUGUCCUUCUCUGGAUACAGUCCAGCACAUCCACGUCUUUCUUGAAACGAGGGGCCCAGAACUGAACACAGGACUUGAGGUAUGGCCUCAACAAGGCUGACUGCAGAGGUCCAAUCUUUUCCCUAGGUGAUUGAACAAAGAUAUUCACUUUUUUAUGAUAUGCUCCAACAGAAUUGUUGUUCCCACUACCUGCUGAUCAAAUGCGGCUACAGAGUACCUAGAGUGCUGGAAGCACAUAAAAAUGUUCUUCCGAUGGAUUUCAAAAAUAAACUUUUUUAUUUCAUGGUACAGUGUGAAGAGUAUGGUCUGUAGGACAAGCACUGUGACAUGAAUCCUUUUGAUAGUGAAAAGCAAAAACAUUUUUCGGGAUCUGAACCAGGAGGAGGGAGAAAAAAUUAGGGCUGUCCCAUCCUUCUUUCCUGUUGCUAAGGAAUGAAGCAAGGAGCAAUCAAAACAAAUGCAAAGAAAUACCCUGUGAAACCUUAUUUCCAUAGUCCCUCUGAGUUUUCAUUGUUUUGCAAAUGUAUAUUUUAAAAUAUUUUAUGUCAGUCUGUGUAUAUUUCAAAUUUUUAGUGUUUAUUUUUGGCUUUGUCUUGUAAUGAUUAUGUUCUUUCAGGAUAAGACAAUGGUAAUCCAUUAACAUAUAACAUUUUGCUUUGUAUGCAUUCUCCAUCCAUGCAGUAAAUCAGAAGGUGUUCUUUGAAUUGCUGGAUGACAUGUAACCUUGUAACUUUGUAGAAAGUCUGUAAAGAAUUUUCAAAAUUUUCCUCCCAAGUUAGCAAUCUUUUUCAAAGUUUUAUUCAAGCAUUCAACCACUUUGUUGUCUUGAAGGCAGAAUGUUCUUCACUGCCUGCAUAUAAAACCCCUCCUUCUGAAAAUAUAAGAUUUUGACAAUCUUCUGAAAAAAAUUAGACCAUGUAUUGCAUGUUGAAAAUAUUAUAAUUUUAACAAUAAAUGUGGCUCAAAUUGAGUUUAUAAAUUUCAGAUAUCCUACAGAGGCAGUAGGAUAUCAGAUAUGUCAGUUGUGACCUUAAGUUCCAACACAAAAAAAAAAUAAUGUCUACACUUGAGGAAGAGUUGAUAAUUAUAUUAUAUAAAUUCAUGCAUUUUUUGUAUAAGACUGGAUUGAAACUUAGAUGACUUUAACUUCAACAUGUAAUUCUGCCCACUAGCACAGUUUUCACAGCUACAGUUUUGUCCCAAUAGCUGUUGAUGAUUUCCAUUAAACAAUUGUAUCCAUUGAAAAAUUAACAGCAACCAAGCCUGUCAUGAAUAUUUUGUAAGAAAAGUUCAUUUUAUAUAAUAAAAUAGAAUAGCAUAUAAAAUGAAUACAUAAAUUCUAUUCUAGAAUAGAAUGCUGUUGUAGACAUAAAUGAAAGUAUUUGAGAUUGUUGGGCCACUUUGUUAUCAGGAAAACACAUAAUUUCCAGGUGAAUGAGGUGUUAAAUUGUACUUCUAAACUGCUAUCCUUCACUGUGCAAGUAACUGUGCAAGUACUCUAUAUCAUCAUUUAUCUGGGCAUCUGGUAGAGAUAACAGUAGAUGAGAUAAGCAGCCAGCCAUCAAAAUUUCAGUUUCUGUUCUGUACUCCAUGUUACACAUUAAUGGAGGUACCCUUUCUGAUCAUCAGGCAAUUUUCAUUCCUGUUUAUCUAAAUCCUUUUAUUACUAAUGUCAUCAAGGAGUGUUGAUUUGAUUGUUCUGAUAGUUAGAAUCUAUAUACCCAAAGAUAGUAUCUUUGGUUUCCCAAAGCCCUUAAGUAAUACAUUGAUUAUUUUUCACAAGUGGGAUACAAUUUGUCAGCUGCUUCUCUUUAAGAGAUCUUGACAUAAAUAUUCUUCUUGGUUUGUCUUCAUGAGUUUAAGUAGGUGUGAAGCAAACUCUGCUUUCUUGUUAACAAUUGUCAUAAUGGUAGGUAACAUAGAAUCAAACUCUGUUUGUCUGUUCACACUGAAGUCUUUAAUCAGGAUGAACAUUUUUUGUCUUUUAUCUACCCAAAGGCAUGUUGGUGUUUUCCUGGAAAUAUUAUCUCAACAGCUUAACAUAUUAAAAUGUAGGUAGGAAAUAACUCCAUGAGAAUAUAAAAGUGUAAGGGAAUAUACCGUUUCUUAUCUGUGGUAGGAUGUGGCUCUGGUAACAAUUUAAGGUUCUUCUGACAAGUAAUGGUCCUAAGAAACUCAACUGCCUGCCUGAAACAACAUUUGGCAAAAUUUGAUUUCAGUCUUUCAAUGUUGUGGCACUGCAGAAUGAGCUAAGUAUCAGGAACCUUUUGAAGCGCAACAACAUCCAGGUGAAAUUGAAUGGAUUUCAUUUGUCCAAAAAAGACUGGAUGCUGAAGCAACUUUAUGUAGUACACACUUAAAAUAGAAAAAUCCAUCUUAUGUAACAAAUGCUGGGACAUUUCUGCUGCCUUAUGCAGCCUAAUUCAUUGAUGCAUGGUCUUGAAAACUAAAACUAUUAAAUGUCUGGACAUUGUUGACUUCUGCAACUUCUUCAGUGUAUGAAGUUCAAUUACCGCUUGUUGUCAAUCUGGUUCAGAUAAAAUAAUUAAAAUGUGUCAGAUUUCAGUAUAACUGA